CCUACGGGAGGCAGCAGUGAGGAAUAUUGGUCAAUGGGCGUAAGCCUGAACCAGCCAAGUCGCGUGAGGGAUGAAGGUUCUAUGGAUCGUAAACCUCUUUUAUAAGGGAAUAAAGUGCGGGACGUGUCCCGUUUUGUAUGUACCUUAUCAAUAAGGAUAGGCUAACGCCGUGCCAGCAGCCGCGGUAAUACGGAGGGGCCGAGCGUUAUCCGGAAUUAUUGGGUUUAAAGGGUGCGUAGGCGGCCUUUUAAGUCAGCGGUGAAAGCCUGUGGCUCAACCAGAGAAAUGCCGUUGAAACUGGGAGGCUUGAGUAUGUUUGAGGCAGGCGGAAUGCGUGGUGUAGCGGUGAAAUGCGUAGAUAUCACGCAGAACCCCGAUGGCGAAGGCGGCCUGCCAGGCCAUGACUGACGCUGAUGCACGAAAGCGUGGGGAUCAAACAGGAUUAGAUACCCGAGUAGUC
rnacentral:rRNA from 1 species